GAUUAACGCUGGCGGCGUGCAUAACACAUGCAAGUCGAACGAUGAAACUUUAAUGAACUCUUCGGGGAGAAUUAAAGCGGAUUAGUGGUGAACGGGUGAGUAACGCGUGUGUAACCUGCCUUACCCAAGGGGAUAGCCUUUGGAAACGAAGUAUAAUACCCUAUAAAACCAUAUAAGCAUAUACAAUUAUGUUCAAAGUGAUAGCGGUGUAAGAUGGACUUACGUUGGAUUAGCUAGUUGAGGAGAUAAAAGAUCACCAAGGCGAGGGUCAGUAGCCGACCUGAGAGGGUGAGCGGCAACAGUGGGACUGAGACACGGCCCAAACUCCUACGGGAGGCAGCAGUAGGGAAUCUUCGGCAAUGGACGAAAGUCUGACAGAGCAACGCCGCGUGAGUGAAGAAGGGUUUCGGAUCGUAAAACUAUGUUGGUAGAGAAGAACGUUGGUGAGAGUGGAAAGCUCAUCAAGUGACGGUAACUACCCAGAAAGGGACGGCUAACUACGUG
rnacentral:rRNA from 1 species